UACGUAGGGCACAAGCGUUACCCGGAAUUAUUGGGCGUAAAGAGCGUGUAGGCGGCCAGGUAGGUCUGCUGUGAAAACUCGAGGCUCAACCUCGAGACGUCGGCGGAAACCAUCUGGCUAGAGUCCGGAAGAGGAGAGUGGAAUUCCUGGUGUAGCGGUGAAAUGCGCAGAUAUCAGGAAGAACACCCGUGGCGAAGGCGGCUCUCUGGGACGGUACUGACGCUGAGACGCGAAAGCGUGGGGAGCGAACAGG
rnacentral:rRNA from 1 species